GACGUCGAUAUUCGACGUCAUAAACAACACCAAGUUUGGUGUUUAUUACGUCGAUAUACGACGUCAUAAACAGCAUCAAGUUUGGUGUUUAUGGCGUCGAUAUUCGACCUCAUAAACACCAUCAAGGUAGGUGUUUAUUGCGUCGAUAUACGACGUCAUAAACACCAUCAAGUUUGCUAUAUAUAACGUCGAUAUUCGACGUCAUAAACACCAUCAAAUUUGGUGUUGAUGACGUCGAUAUACGACAUC
rnacentral:miRNA from 1 species